GGACGAACGCUGGCGGCGUGCCUAACACAUGCAAGUCGAGCGGAGGCAUUUGAGGAGUAAUCUGAGGGUGUCUGAGCGGCGGACGGGUGAGUAACGCGUGAGCGAUCUGCCUUUCACAGGGGGAUAACGCAGCGAAAGCUGCACUAAUACCGCAUGAGACCACAGUACUGAUGGUACAGGGGUCAAAGGAGAGAUCCGGUGAGAGAUGAGCUCGCGUCCGAUUAGGUAGUUGGUGAGGUAACGGCCCACCAAGCCAAUGAUCGGUAGCCGGCCUGAGAGGGUGAACGGCCACAUUGGAACUGAGAGACGGUCCAAACUCCUACGGGAGGCAGCAGUGGGGAAUAUUGGGCAAUGGGGGAAACCCUGACCCAGCAACGCCGCGUGAGGGAAGAAGGUUUUCGGAUUGUAAACCUCUGUUCUUGGAGAAGAGAAGGAGACGGUAUCCAAGGAGGAAGCCCCGGCUAACUACGUGCCAGCAGCCGCGGUAAUACGUAGGGGGCGAGCGUUGUCCGGAAUGAUUGGGCGUAAAGGGCGCGUAGGCGGCCGAGCAAGUCAGUAGUGGAAGUCCAAUUUUCAAGGUUGGAAGUGCUAUUGAAACUGCAGGGCUUGAGUGCAGGAGAGGUUAUCGGAAUUCCCGGUGUAGCGGUGAAAUGCGUAGAGAUCGGGAGGAACACCAGUGGCGAAGGCGGGUAACUGGACUGCAACUGACGCUGAGGCGCGAAAGUGUGGGGAGCAAACAGGAUUAGAUACCCUGGUAGUCCACACGGUAAACGAUGAAUGCUAGGUGUAGGGGGUAUCGACCCCUUCUGUGCCGGAGUAAACACAAUAAGCAUUCCGCCUGGGGAGUACGGUCGCAAGAUUAAAACUCAAAGGAAUUGACGGGGGCCCGCACAAGCAGCGGAGCAUGUGGUUUAAUUCGAAGCAACGCGCAGAACCUUACCUACCCUUGACAUGUCCAGUAUGGGUUUCAGAGAUGAGAUCCUUCAGUUCGGCUGGCUGGAACACAGGUGCUGCAUGGCUGUCGUCAGCUCGUGUCGUGAGAUGUUGGGUUAAGUCCCGCAACGAGCGCAACCCUCGCCUUUAGUUGCCAUCAUUUAGUUGGGCACUCUAGAGGGACUGCCGGUGAUAAGCCGGAGGAAGGUGGGGAUGACGUCAAGUCCUCAUGGCCCUUACGGGUAGGGCUACACACGUGCUACAAUGGUGGUGACAGUGGGCAGCGACACAGUGAUGUGAUGCUAAUCUCAAAAAGCCAUCUCAGUUCAGAUUGUACUCUGCAACUCGAGUACAUGAAGUUGGAAUCGCUAGUAAUCGUAGAACAGCAUGCUACGGUGAAUACGUUCCCGGGCCU
rnacentral:rRNA from 1 species